GGGGAGUACGGCCGCAAGGUUGAAACUCAAAGGAAUUGACGGGGGCCCGCACAAGCGGUGGAGCAUGUGGUUUAAUUUGAAGCAACGGGAAGAACCUUACCAGGUUUUGACAUCCUUUGACAACCCUAGAGAUAGGGGUUUUCCUUUGGGAGCAGAAUGACAGGUGGUGCAUGGUUGUUGUCAGCUUGUGUUGUGAGAUGUUGGGUUAAGUCCCGCAACGAGCGCAACCCUUGAUUUUAGUUGCCAUCAAUUAAUUGGGCAAUUUAAAGGGGACUCCCGGGGAAAAACGGGGGAAGGGGGGGGAGAAGUCAAAUUCUUCAUCCCCUUAUGACCUGGGGUUACACACGGGUUCCAAGGGCGGUUACAAAGAGUGCAAACCCCGGAGGGGGAAGUAAUCUUCAUAAACCGUUUUCAAGUCCGGAUGGGGGUUUGCAAUUGGCCUCCAGGAAGU
rnacentral:rRNA from 1 species